rfam:Asian citrus Psyllid, Diaphorina citri - Florida Strain, whole genome shotgun sequence.
GCCUAUUUAGCUUAGUUGGUAGUGCGUCUGCCUUGUAAGCGCUAGGCCGCGGGUUCGAUUCCCGCCCGGGGCG